GACGAACCGUGCAAACGUUGUUCGGAAUCACUGGGCUUAAAGGGUGUGUAGGCGGACUUUUAAGUCAGGGGUGAAAUCCCGAGGCUCAACCUCGGAACUGCCUUUGAUACUAUUGGUCUUGAAUGUUGUUGAGGUGGGCGGAACGGGUCAUGUAGCGGUGAAAUGCAUAGAUAUGACCCGGAACACCGAUUGCGAAGGCAGCCCGCUAAGCAACUAUUGACGCUGAGGCACGAAAGCGUGGGGAUCAAACAGG
rnacentral:rRNA from 1 species